rnacentral:rRNA from 1 species
AUUGGACGCUGGCGGCAUGCUUUACACAUGCAAGUCGAACGGCAGCAUGGGUGCUUGCACCUGAUGGCGAGUGGCGAACGGGUGAGUAAUGUAUCGGAACAUGUCCGGAAGUGGGGGAUAACGUAGCGAAAGUUACGCUAAUACCGCAUAUGCCCUGAGGGGGAAAGGAGGGGAUCGCAAGACCUUUCGCUUUCGGAGGGGCCGAUAUCAGAUUAGCUUGGUUGUGGGGUAAAGGCUCACCAAGGCGACGAUCUGUAGCGGGUCUGAGAGGAUGAUCCGCCACACUGGGACUGAGACACGGCCCAGACUCCUACGGGGGGCAGCAGUGGGGAAUUUUGGACAAUGGGGGCAACCCCGAUCCAGCCAUGCCGCGUGAGUGAAGAAGGCCUUCGGGUUGUAAAGCUCUUUCGGACAGAAAGAAAUCGCACUUACCAAUACUGAGUGUGGAUGACGGUACUGUAAGAAGAAGCACCGGCUAACUACGUGCCAGCAGCCGCAGUAACAC